GACGAACGCUGGCGGCGUGCCUAACACAUGCAAGUCGAACGAAGCAUUUGGAGCUGAUCUCUUCGGAGUGACGCACCUUAUGACUUAGUGGCGGACGGGUGAGUAACACGUGAGCAACCUGCCUCUCAGAGUGGAAUAACAGUUUGGAAACGGCUGCUAAUACCGCAUAACGUCAUAGUACCGCAUGAUACCUUGACCAAAGAUUUAUCGGUGAGAGGAUGGGCCCGCGUCUGAUUAGCUGGUUGGUGAGGUAACGGCUCACCAAGGCGACGAUCAGUAGCCGACCUGAGAGGGUGAUCGGCCACAUUGGAACUGAGACACGGUCCAA
rnacentral:rRNA from 1 species